rnacentral:rRNA from 1 species
CAAAAACAUGUCCUUUUGUUUAUUUAUUUAAGGUCUGACCUGCCCAAUGAGGAAUUCAAUGGCCGCAGUAUCUUAACUGUGCUAAGGUAGCAUAAUCAUUUGUCUUUUAAUUGAGGGCUGGAAUGAAAGGUUGGACGAAAUAUUGACUUUCUUUAAUUUAAUUUUAAGAANNNNNNNNNNNNUAAAUUUACUUGUUGGACGAGAAGACCCUAUAGAUCUUUAUAGUCUUAUAUUUUAAUAAUUUAGUGGUUAUAUUUAUUAUAAGUAAAAGGAUUAUUUUGUUGGGGUGACUGUAGAAUUUAAUAAACUUCUAUUAUAUUUUUCAUUGAUUAGUGUUUUUUUGAUCCAUAUAUUUGUGAU